GACGGCGUGCCUUUUGCAUAAUGAGCCUACGAGUUAGUGUUGUUGGCAAGGUUAAUAUUUUAAGAGUAGAAGCCGAAGCGAAAGCGAGUCUUAACAGGGCGAUCAGUCAGCAGUACUAGACGCGAAACUUGGUGAUCUACCCAUGACCAGGAUGAAGUGUGAGUAACAUCACAUGGAGGUCCGAACCAGUUGACGUUGAAAAGUC
rnacentral:rRNA from 12 species